UUUCCCAGAUGAUGAAAAGGAAGCCGGAAAGGUGUCACCAACCACUGAACUGUCCUGCUUGCCCUUGUGGGCGGGGCACCGGGAGUCUCCUGGGAACGACAGAGGCCUUGGCAACACAAGUCACAGUGCUGCAGCAACAGGCCAGUAGUCGAGGCGACAUUGGGCUUGGGGCAACCUGCAGUCCCUUCUGUGUAUGGAGCAUGUGGCAGCCCCAGGGCCCCCUCCUCGGGCCACUGAGAAUGUUCUGCCACGGGCCGAGGCCUGGCUGCCAGGAGUCCCUGGGGGUGCCCCAGCCUGGGCCACCAACCUUGGGACAGAGCUUCCCUCAGACCUAGAGCUGAGUGAGGAGCAGCAGCUGCAGGUCUGCAAGGAGCUGGUCGACCUGCAGAUCAAAAACCAGCGCCUGCAGGAGCAGCACGAUGCUGAAAUCUUUGAGCUGAAGAGUGAGGUCCUGUGGCUGGAGAGCCGUGUGCUGGAGCUGGAGCUGCAGGGAGCGCGGGCAGCCCCAGCAGAGGCUGAUCCAGGGCGCCGCCCAGCCCUGGCACAGGAGCUCGGGCACAAGGCUGGGGGGCAGGGACAGUCCUACAGUCGCAGACUCCAGGCACAGUCCACAGACUUCCUGACCCCCAAGAACAAGCAGCAGGAGCUGGGGGACGGCACAGGUGUUCAGCCACCCAGCCCGAAGGUCUGUCAGGGUUUCUCCCAGCCUGGGCUGGAGGUAGGGCGGAAGAGGGGACCCGGGGCUUGGGCUUUCAUCCAGCCAGCCGUCCUGUGCCCCACAGCUGCCAGCAGAGGCAAAGCGGGCGCAGGAGCAUCACGGGGCUCGGCAGAAGGCCCUGGAGACGCGUGUGUGUUGUCUGCCUGUCGGGGCCAGCUCCACCAGGCUGAGGCAGAGAACGCCCGGCUGCAGCUGCAACUCAAGAAGCUGAAUGAGGCGUAUGCCAUUCGACUGCAGCACUGCGCCCGAACUGUGGCUGGAUACGCAGAUGGCGCAGGCCCGAAGCCCACAGCCGCAGCCCUUCGGACAUUCCUGGAGACCACUCUGGAGGACAUUAGGGCAGCUCAUCACAGCCGUGAGCAACAGCUGGCCCGGGCCGCCCGCUCCUACCGCAAGUGCCUGGCAGAUCUGAGCCGGAGGCAUGAGGAGCUGCUGAUCGCUCACAGUGUGCAGCAGAUGCUGGUGGACCCUGUCGGGGCCCCUGGGACCCCCAGGGCUGCCUUUGGUGCGGCCCCCUCAGAUGUGGCGCUGCUGCCCCUGCACACAGUCACCGAAUUCGGCCACUGGAUGGAGGACCAGGCCAGGCUGGAGAAGCAGCUCCAGAAGCUCAAGGCCCAGGUGACCCCUCCCUGCUGCCCCCUAACUCACCCCAGGACCCCUCCCAAGCUCAGCCAAGCCCAAACCCCCAGGCCUUGGAGCAGCCUGCCCUGUUUAGCAACCCCUGCUCUUGUUCCCACAGAAGGGAUCCGGUGAAGUCUCCCAGGGGGGCACAUUAGAGCCGCAGUGAGUACCUAGUGUGGGUGCUGGGGGCACCCAUUUAUCCCUGUAUCCAGGGUACAGGGGCCAGGUUCUGGUUGCUAGAGCAAACAAAGUGAUCUAGCUGUGACUUCCAGUCUCGGCCUUCUCAGGAGACACUAUCUCAGAAAACCAAGGGCCUGGAGUGAGGAGGGGUCCUGACAGGAGAGGGGCUAACCUUGAAUGGGAGGGUCAGGGAGACGCCUCAUCUCGGCUGAGCCUCAGGAGCCCCAGCUGUAGACCACUGGGGGCAUGGACAGUAGAGGGCCCGAUCCAGGACAAGGCAAGAGCAGCUGCCCGGUUACUUUCACGGCCUUUGUGCCUUCAUGUUCCCAACAUGAAGCCUCCUUACUGACACUGCAGUCCCAGUCCAAGCUGGCCUGGUGGCUCAGCUUUCCGAGUGGCCAGUGCCCCCCCACCCCCAUGCAGAGAUGGCGCCAAGACUCAGGCAGGGCCAUCCCAAACUUGCUCGCAGGAGGAACCUCAAGGACCGCAGGGCCCUGACUUGAGCAGGGUUGUUGAUCAGCACUUGGGCCGAUGCCAGCUCUCACGCCCACCUCUCUGCCUCCCCUCAAGGGGCCUGGAAGCUUCGUCCUGGGCCCAGAUCCGCCAGAAUC